AUUGAACGCUGGCGGCAGGCCUAACACAUGCAAGUCGAGCUACCGGCGGGCGGGUAAGUAAUGUCGAGGAACCUGCCUAAUGGAGGGGGAUAACUACUAACAACGGUAGCUAAUACAGCAUAACAUAAGAUAUUCCCAGAUGGGAUUAGCUAGUAGGUGGGGUAACGGCUCACCUAGGCGACGAUACCUAGCUGGUCUGAGAGGAUGACCAGCCACACUGGAACUGAGACACGGUCCAGACUCCCACGGGAGGCAGCAGUGGGGAAUAGGGCACAAUGGGCGCAAGCCGGAUGCAGCCAUGCCGAGUGUGUGAAGAAGGCCUUCGGGUUGUAAAGCACUUUCAGCGGGGAGGCGUUACCCGCAGAAGAAGCACCGGCUAACUCCGUGCCAGCAGCCGCGGUAAUUC
rnacentral:rRNA from 1 species